GGGGAUUUAGCACAGUGGUAGAGCGCUUGCCUAGCAAGCAUAAGGCCCUGGGUUCGGUCCCCAGCUCCG
rnacentral:tRNA from 1 species